GGCCAGAUAUGUGGCUCAGUUGACAGUCUAACAUGAAGCUCUAGGUUCAAUCCCAGUAGCACACAAACAGGGCACAAUGGCACACAUCUGCACUGGCAGCACUUAGGAGGAAGGUGGAAGAAUCAAGAGUUGAAGUUUGUUCUUGGCUAUGCAGCCAGGAGGCUAGCUUGGAAUACAUGGAACUCUGUCUAAACUACGGUUUCCGAGGAGACGAGAUCCAACUCACAUAGGGUCCUUGCAGAGAUCCGGGUCCCCACCACCUUCUGCCUGGGCAGGUGACUUGGCCAAGGGUGACUGUCUCUCAAAGUGAGGAGAGCAGCAAGCUGUGGAGGUUUCUGUUUAGAUGGUGAGACAGGCGUCUGUUCAUUCUUUCUAAUGGUCAGAUGCCGACAAACAGGAGAAGUGCUGUUAGGAGAAUGCAUACGAAGGCCUGAGGAAUGUUCUAUUUACGGGCUUCGGAGGGGCCAUAAUCCCCAAUCUUCCACUUGCUGCUGCUGUUGCUUGAGAAGCACAGGAGGCCGAGCUGGAUCCAGUUACACCAGAGAAUUUACUUUUAGAAGACGUUUUUCUGCCUGUAGUAGAGCCCCUGAAAUGUGGCAAAGAAAAGAAAAUUAAAAUGCUAAACGAGGCCAAGUUA